GAAGUUUCCCUCAGGAUAGCUGGUGCAUUUUAAUGUUAUAUAAAAUAAUCUUAUCUGGUAAAGCGAAUGAUUAGAGGCCUUAGGGUCGAAACGAUCUUAACCUAUUCUCAAACUUUAAAUGGGUAAGAACCUUAACUUUCUUGAUAUGAAGUUUAAGGUUAUGAUAUAAUGUGCCCAGUGGGCCACUUUUGGUAAGCAGAACUGGCGCUGUGGGAUGAACCAAACGUAAUGUUACGGUGCCCAAAUUAACAACUCAUGCAGAAACCAUGAAAGGCGUUGGUUGCUUAAAACAGCAGGACGGUGAUCAUGGAAGUCGAAAUCCGCUAAGGAGUGUGUUCGGAGCAGAACGCAGCCGAUUAGCUGCUUACCAAAUAGCACCUAAUUCUUGGCCCUCAGCCGCUUAUUUUGUUUGUUACUUAUGUCUA
rnacentral:ncRNA from 1 species